AGUGAACGCUGGCGGUAGGCCUAACACAUGCAAGUCGAACGGCAGCACAGUAAGAGCUUGCUCUUACGGGUGGCGAGUGGCGGACGGGUGAGGAAUACAUCGGAAUCUACUUUUUCGUGGGGGAUAACGUAGGGAAACUUACGCUAAUACCGCAUACGACCUACGGGUGGAAUCAGGGGAUCUUCGGACCUUGCGCGUUUGAAUGAGCCGAGGUCGGAUUAGCUAGUUGGCGGGGUAAAGGCCCACCAAGGCGACGAUCCGUAGCUGGUCUGAGAGGAUGAUCAGCCACACUGGAACUGAGAAACGGUCCAGACUCCUACGGGAGGCAGCAGUGGGGAAUAUUGGACAAUGGGCGCAAGCCUGAUCCAGCCAUACCGCGUGGGUGAAGAAGGCCUUCGGGUUGUAAAGCCCUUUUGUUGGGAAAGAAAAGCAGCAGGUUAAUACCCCGCUGUUCUGACGGUACCCAAAGAAUAAGCACCGGCUAACUUCGUG
rnacentral:rRNA from 1 species